rnacentral:lncRNA from 1 species
AUGGCUUUCGGAGACUAUCCGGCGGAGUACAACCCGAAGGUGCACGGACCGUACGAUCCGGCCCGCUUCUACGGCAAG